UUUACUUAGCGGCGGACGGGUGAGUAACGUGUGGGCAACCUGCCUUUUACUGGGGAAUAAUCGUUGGAAACGACGACUAAUACCGCAUACGGUUCUUAGAAGGCAUCUUCUGAGAAAGAAAGGAUUAAUUCGGUAAAAGAUGGGCCCGCAUCUGAUUAGCUAGUUGGUGAGAUAACAGCCCACCAAGGCAACGAUCAGUAGCCGACCUGAGAGGGUGACCGGCCACAUUGGGACUGAGACACGGCCCAAACUCCUACGGGAGGCAGCAG
rnacentral:rRNA from 1 species